rnacentral:rRNA from 1 species
UACAGAGGAGCCAAGCGUUGUCCGGAUUGACUGGGCGUAAAGCGCACGUAGGCGGACUACUAAGUCAGGGGUGAAAUCCCGGGGCUCAACCCCGGAACUGCCUUUGAUACUGGUAGUCUCGAGUCCGGAAGAGGUGAGUGGAAUUCCGAGUGUAGAGGUGAAAUUCGUAGAUAUUCGGAGGAACACCAGUGGCGAAGGCGGCUCACUGGUCCGGUACUGACGCUGAGGUGCGAAAGCGUGGGGAGCAAACAGG